GGGGCCAGAGUCUCCUGAGCAGAGUGACUCUGUGGGGUGCCGUUAGAAAAGGGGCUUUUUGGUUGUGAUGCUCAAGGUGUAAUGGGAGGAGAGUGGAGGGCGGAUCCCCGCCGUGUGGGAGAGGCAAACAGAGGAGCCUACGAGACGUUGCCGACUGAGAUGGUCACUUACUUGUUUUUUCCCCUUGUGCUGGGUUUAGUACCAAGGAAAAAGAAGUCAAGCCUCAGAGUCUCCUGCCCUCAUGCGACGGACAGUGAGUGAGAGCAGCGAGCCUGUGACCGUUGGUGGUGCCAGGCAAGAGCCCUCCAUCUGGGAGCCGAGCAAUCGCCAGUCUCGGUGAGGACACGGGUAGGUGUGCAUUCCCACAGGUGAGGUCUCGGGAGCCAUGGAGAAGUC